rnacentral:rRNA from 1 species
CAGCAGCCGCGGGAAUACGGAGGGUGCAAGCGUUAAUCGGAAUUACUGGGCGUAAAGCGCACGCAGGCGGUCUGUCAAGUCAGAUGUGAAAUCCCCGGGCUUAACCUGGGAACUGCAUUUGAAACUGGCAGGCUAGAGUCUUGUAGAGGGGGGUAGAAUUCCAGGUGUAGCGGUGAAAUGCGUAGAGAUCUGGAGGAAUACCGGUGGCGAAGGCGGCCCCUUGGACAAAGACUGACGCUCAGGUGCGAAAGCGUGGGGAGCAAACAGGAUUAGAUACCCCAGUAGUCCCUGUCUCUUAUAC